GAUAUCUUUGUUUUAUUGCAGGAGACACCAACAAACGGAACACAAAUUAACUUAAGCCUACACCAGGCUGGUGACAUCUGAAAGAGGGGAAAGCGGACGAGCUGUGCUCUGUGCUUUCUGUCUGACCUGUUUGGAGCACAUUUUGGAGCAUGUUUGCCACUUAGCAGGGAACUAAAAUUCAGGCACAAGAGGUUGUAAACGUAAAGAGUGAAUAUGGGUGAAAAGAAGCCAGAACCUUUGGACUUCGUAAAAGAUUUUCAGGAAUAUCUUACACAGCAGACUCACCAUGUAAAUAUGAUUUCUGGAUCAGUCAGCGGAGACAAGGAAGCAGAGACUCUUCAGGGAGCUGGGACAGAAGGUGAUCAGAAUGGUCUGGAUCAUCCUUCUGUUGAAGUUUCACUGGAUGAAAACUCAGGAAUGUUAGUGGAUGGGUUUGAAAGGACAUUUGAUGGAAAGUUAAAGUGUCGAUACUGCAAUUAUGCCAGCAAAGGAACAGCCCGGCUCAUAGAGCACAUCCGAAUUCAUACAGGUGAGAAGCCGCACAGAUGUCACUUGUGUCCCUUUGCAUCAGCUUACGAACGUCACCUGGAAGCUCACAUGAGAUCCCACACUGGUGAAAAACCAUACAAAUGUGAAUUGUGUUCCUUUCGCUGCAGCGACAGAAGCAACUUAUCUCACCACCGCAGGCGCAAGCAUAAAAUGGUGCCCAUCAAGGGUACGAGGUCUUCCCUAAGCAGCAAGAAAAUGUGGGGGGUUUUGCAGAAGAAGACCAGCAAUUUGGGCUACAGCAGAAGAGCGUUAAUUAAUUUGAGUCCGCCUUCCAUGGUGGUGCAGAAACCAGACUACCUUAAUGAUUUCACUCACGAAAUCCCAAAUAUCCAGACUGAAGCUUAUGAGAACAUGACAAAACCAACCCAGAGCAGUGGGUUGCCAAGAGAUCCACAGGACCUCAUGGUAGAUAAUCCUUUAAACCAGCUCUCGACGUUAGCCGGCCAGUUAUCCAGCUUGCCACCUGAAAACCAAAACCCAGCCUCUCCUGACGUUGUUUCCUGUCAAGAUGAAAAGCCUUUCAUGAUCCAGCAGCCUGCAGCACCUGCAGGAGUUUCUGCUGUGUCAGCAAAUAUUCCUCAAAGUUCAUCUCCAACCAGCCCGGAUCCUCGGCCUACACACAAUCAAAGGAACUAUAGCCCCGUGGCGGGUCCCAGCAGCGAUCGCAGCGCCCACACCAGUACUCCCAGUAUAAGCAACAGUCAACCGAGUACUCCUGCUCCCACCCUUCCAGUUCAGGACCCUCAGCUUCUGCAUCACUGCCAACACUGUGACAUGUACUUCGCGGACAAUAUUCUUUAUACUAUUCACAUGGGAUGUCAUGGAUUUGAAAAUCCUUUUCAGUGCAACAUAUGUGGGUGUAAGUGUAAAAAUAAGUAUGACUUCGCUUGCCAUUUUGCAAGAGGCCAACAUAGUCAACAUUGACUGAGAAAACACUCUUUCGUUUAGUUUUUUAACAUAUUACAGUAUAUUUUUCAUACUUGCUAAAGGAAAGCUUGCACGUUCCCGUAAGGAAUAUUCACCAUUAAUCAGCUCGACAAAGGAGGCACAUUUCUUUCCACGUGGUCGUAAAACUUGCCAGGGAAAUUUUGUGUAAGAUGUGGUUGUUAUUUUACAUGUAGCCUUUCAAAAAAAAAAAAACAAAACAAACUGAGGGAGUGCUUUAAGAAUUGGAAUGCUUUUACGUGCUUUGGUUGCUAAAUUCUAGUUGCUUGCACUUAAUCCCAAUAAACAUUCUACAACUGCAGAAGCAGAGCGUGUGUCCUCAAAGAUAGGAUGCAAUUAUCAGGCUAUUUACUGGGCACAGCAAAAUACAUUAACCAGAAAAUAGGAAAUGGUGGUGGAGUGACACAUCUGGUUACUUUGGAGACAUCCUUAAAAAACUUAAUUACUCCAAACUGGAUAAACAGAAGCAACUUUCACAUGCAAAUCCGAUUUGAUGUAAAACUUGCUUUAAUCUGGUGAAGGUUAAUAAUGAGUUUUUGCUUAGGAUAGUCUAAACUCUUCAUGUUAGAGCUCAAACACUAGUUGAACUGUUAUUUUUAAAACUCAUCACAGAACUAGAACAUAACGGGUUGUUGUGAAUGAAACUCUGGUAGGAAAAAGGAAGAGUUAGAAGCUCGUCACUCACUAGUUAUACAAAAGAAAAAUGAAAUACGACACCUUAUUUUAAACUACACUUACCAAAAUUUACAUGUCAUUCUUUUUUAAAAGGAGGAAAUUUUUAAACAGUCAUUAUAAAGAGCUUGUAGAACUAAUAUAUAUUCCGUGAGAUUUUUUAACUGCCUUAAACUAAUUUGUACAGAUAUUUAAAAUUUGCACAAUUAGCCUUUUGUCUUGCUGACAGAAGUUCUACUAGAAACGAAGGAGAGGUUUACAAAUGAAAAAGCAUUUGUUCAGUUGGAUCGCGGGCCAAGCUCCAGCGGAGAGGUUGCCUGUAUGUUUGAAAGUCCUACAAUCUGCUUUAUUGUAAAUUUGGGACUGGGUUUGUCUCAUCCUUUCCCUUGGACUCGUUGUCCUUUCCUUGUGCUAGAAAUGGAGGGAAGGGUUUUCUGAGCUGUCGGUGCGGGAGGCGGGCGCAGGCGUGCCUGGUGGAGGUCAGUGUGGUGAAUAAUUGCAGGUGGUAACUCAAGGUGUACAUGAAGUCCCUUGCACACAUUUUGGGGUUGUUUUUUUAUUAUACUGUACAUCUUAACUUUGGAAGCACCUAGGCUAACGGACAGGCACUUUAAUAGAAACCUAAAUUAAACAUCCUAGCAAAAUUAAUUAAAGCUCUUAAUAUGCUACACAGCAAUUUGUAAUGUUUCCAAAAGUGAAGAACUGUUACUUUUCCCCUGUUUAGACAUGCACUUUUCCCUUAGUUUGUCUUACUCGAGACAAAUUAAAGCUUCCCUUACAUGUUCCCUUCUAUUAUCAGCAAAAUAUGGCAGCAAAUACAUUUUUUGUUAAAAGCAGGAAGAUUUUAUUAACGUUCUGCAAGUCAGAGGUUGGAAUCUGAAUAGCAAAUGUUUGGCUUUUUCAAAUGUACAUCGUUGUGGGAGCCAAAGCUUCCUGAAGCUGAUGGAAAAACUUACAAUGACUUCAGUGUAAGAUCAACGUAGGAAAAACCACCCUUCUGAGAAUUUUAGUCUUAGAAGUAAUUUUGACUUUAAUGAAUGAGAAAUUUGGGAACUGAAUACGAUUCUGUCUCCCUGACUUACCUACUGUUGAGUUGUCUGUGCUGAAGUAACCAGCUGAAGGGAUUGGAUUCUCUUGGCUGCGCGUUGUAGUAAAGGGGUCAAAAAUAUGCCUUUGAAGUUUCCUUUCCAAUGUAGUGAAGAUGAAUGAUGACACACUGUCGCUUCUAAAAAUGCUUUUGGUUUCAGGCCUUGUCAAAAUCCAUUUCUGUGGAUUUAUAAAGCAGAAUGUAAUCUCUGUUUUUCGUAACGACGCUUCUUGUAAUUCCAAAAUAUCCCUUUGUUGCUUCCUACUUUUAAAAUUUAUUUUAUGAGCAAAACAGCAACUCAGUAUUGCAUAAACACACAGAGUGCUGUAUUUUAAGGACUGAAAGUUGGCUGAACUGGAAUCCAGCUGGACGUUACUGCUCCUGUCCAGGUUUUGUAACGUGGCGCUUCCAGUGGAAGAAUAACGUAGGAAUGAUCAUAUAUUGACACGUUCCAAAAUCUGAAUUUGGCUAAAAUAUGGCAUUAGAACUACAAACGUUGCUGUUGAGGACCAUUACAAUUAGUGAUUUUUAGAAGUCCUUUUCCUUGUCUGUUGAUGGAUGAUGCAAACUGCUCUUCUCCUCCUGCCCCUGGGCUCAGCAGGGAGGUGCCUCCUGCACACAGAGGUUUGAGGUUUCACCCUUCCCUUGAUUUCUGAACCAUGAUGCUCCCGAAGGAAAUUUUAGAUGGGAGAAGGGUUGGGUCACUAGAGGCAGCUGGGAGCACGAGGAAGCCCGUGUGAUCUUAUUAAAAGGGGCCUCUAUUUUGGAGGGGAUCUUCUCUUGCAGGGGAGCCUAUGUUCUUAAUAAUAGAACUCAGUAUGAAAAAAAAAAAUCUAACCCCAAACCUUGCAAGUUGUUGUUUAGAAGUAUUUUAAUCCUGCUGACUUGAUACCAUUUCUGCUUCGAGGUACCCAGGGAAAACCAUGGUGAGCGUGGAGGAGGUGCUGAGCAGGGAUAAAGCUGGUUUCCCUCCCAUGUGCAAGCCCCUGUUCGUGGGGGGGUUUUAGGCAGCAGCAGGUUUUGGGGUGCAUCCCUCCGUUCUGCAGCCAGAGCUGGGGGGUGGGGCCCUGCCCACAUCCUGGUCCCACGCGCAGGGACACCCUCUGGACUAGAAUUCCACGUUUUUCAACCUAAAACUGCCUGUUCAGUUGUGCCAAACAGAACCCUGACUGUAUCCGUUUCCUUCUGUCUGCUGGGUAGGUUUGGAAGGUCUAUUUUCAUGUCAGUUUUUUCCUAAUGUUGUACAUACGAUUUACUUUAAUUUAAAGACCAGGAAUAGUACUGGAAAAAUGUUUUGGAGUGUGAUCCCGAGGAUUCCUUUGCAGGGAUAGGCCUUACCCUGCGUGGACAAGGGAUGCUGGGCAGGAAUUGUAGGAUCGAGUCCUUGGUUAGUGGGACUUCUCAUAUCGAGUUCUCCAUGUGCUUCACUGCACUCACUUGGGUUUGGGGUUUUGGUUUUUUUAAUAAAAAACCCAAACCCUCACAUCCUUAUAUUAUAAGGUGGUGAUUAGCAUUUUUAACUUGUAUGGACAGGGAAGUUUGGGAAUGAGCUGAAAUGUUUCCAUAGCUUGACCCUGUUCAAGUUCUGUAGCUGCAAACCAUUACCUUUGGUGGUUUUUUGUUUGUUUUUAUUGUAAUAGAUUAUUUUAUAGAUCUGUUGACAUUUUUAACGUGCACUAUUUAUAGUCCUUUUAAUCCAAGCUUAUUAUUUUGGGACUGAAUAUUCCAAUGAACAUGCAAAUAUCAGCCUGAAGAUCUUGGUUGAUCAUCUCAGUUAAUACUUAAACCACCCGGGAAACAGAGAACAGGGAAUAAUAGUUGUUUCUUUUCACAGACACAAUGUUUAGAUGGAGAAGAUUUUGAUGUAAAAUAUUAAUUGGCAUUUUAACAGAAAACUCCCGGCUGGAAAACACAUUCCAAGAGUGUUUCCUGGCAAAACCAACCGUUGCCAUUGGGUUUGUUCCAGAAUGUUUGGGGGGGGUUUGUUUGUUUGGGGUUUUUUUGUUGUUAUUGUUUCUUUUUGACGAAGGGAAUGUAAUUUAGAAAUCUUCACUGGCAAGUUUUCUAUUCAUUUGAAGCUUCUUUGCAAAUCUACAGCAAAUGGAUGUUCUGCUGCAGGAAAUCUAGUCCCUGCUGAAGCGGUUUUCAUUGCGCAAUCUUUGUGUCUGUGCUUCUAAGUACCUGCUUUGUUAAUAAUACGUAUUUCCGUGUAAGAGCAUAUUUUGUAUGCAAAAAAAAAAAAAAAGAAAAAAACCCCACCCGUUAGACUUGUAAAAUAAAUUUUAUUGUGUAGUGAAUGUUUUCAGAUGACAAGGUUAAUUCUGAAAUAACUAUAUCUAGUGUAGGUCAUGUUGUGGAGCUUUGCUUUUGUAAGAUACGAAUAAAAUAACACUUUCUAAUUAA